GAGAGUGGAGCAGCUUUCCAUGCAGUCGAACGGUAACAGGGUGCUUGCACCGCUGACGAGUGGCGAACGGGUGAGUAAUGCAUCGGAAUGUACCGUGUAAUGGGGGAUAGCUCGGCGAAAGCCGGAUUAAUACCGCAUACGCCCUGAGGGGGAAAGUGGGGGACCGAAAGGCCUCACGUUAUACGAGCAGCCGAUGUCUGAUUAGCUAGUUGGUGGGGUAAAGGCUCACCAAGGCGACGAUCAGUAGCGGGUCUGAGAGGAUGAUCCGCCACACUGGGACUGAGACACGGCCCAGACUCCUACGGGAGGCAGCAGUGGGGAAUUUUGGACAAUGGGCGCAAGCCUGAUCCAGCCAUGCCGCGUGUCUGAAGAAGGCCUUCGGGUUGUAAAGGACUUUUGUCCGGGAGCAAAUCCCAGUGGUUAAUACCUACUGGGGCUGAGAGUACCGGAAGAAUAAGCACCGGCUAACUACGUGCCAGCAGCCGCGGUAAUACGUAGGGUGCAAGCGUUAAUCGGAAUUACUGGGCGUAAAGCGUGCGCAGGCGGUUGUGCAAGUCUGAUGUGAAAGCCCCGGGCUUAACCUGGGAACGGCAUUGGAGACUGCACGACUAGAGUGCGUCAGAGGGGGGUAGAAUUCCGCGUGUAGCAGUGAAAUGCGUAGAGAUGCGGAGGAAUACCGAUGGCGAAGGCAGCCCCCUGGGAUGACACUGACGCUCAUGCACGAAAGCGUGGGGAGCAACAGGAUUAGAUACCCUGGUAGUCCACGCCCUAAACGAUGUCAACUAGCUGUUGGGGGUUUGAAUCCUUGGUAGCGAAGCUAACGCGAGAAGUUGACCGCCUGGGGAGUACGGCCGCAAGGUUAAAACUCAAAGGAGUUGACGGGGACCCGCACAAGCGGUGGGUGAUGUGGAUUAAUUCGAUGCAACGCGAAAACCUUACCUGGUCUUGACAUGUAACGAACGCUGCAGAGAUGUGGCGGUGCCCGAAAGGGAGCGUUAACACAGGUGCUGCAUGGCUGCGUCAGCUCGGGUCGUGAGAUGUUGGGUUAAGUCCCGCAACGAGCGCAACCCUUGCCAUUAGUUGCCAUCAUUAAGGUGGGGCAGU
rnacentral:rRNA from 1 species